AGAAACUUAGGAUAAUGUAAACCAAGGACCUUCAAAGCCCUAAAUAGGGAAGAAUCCCCCUAGUUUCUG
rnacentral:tRNA from 1 species